UACGUAGGGUCCGAGCGUUGUCCGGAAUUAUUGGGCGUAAAGGGCUCGUAGGCGGUUCGUCACGUCGGGAGUGAAAACUCGGGGCUUAACCCCGAGCCUGCUUCCGAUACGGGCAGACUAGAGGUAGGCAGGGGAGAGCGGAACUCCUGGUGUAGCGGUGGAAUGCGCAGAUAUCAGGAAGAACACCGGUGGCGAAGGCGGCCUGCUGGGACAGUGCUGACGCUGAGGCGCGACAGCGUGGGGAGCAAACAGG
rnacentral:rRNA from 1 species